rnacentral:tRNA from 1 species
UCUCUGGUGGUUCAGUGGUUAAGACUCUGUGCUUUCACCGCUGAGGGUAUGGGUUCGAUCCCUGGUCAGGGAA